CUGUCAGGUGGGAUAACCUUACCUAUUCUUCCUUUUGAGGGCAGAUAGAAAACGAUGGAGUUCGCAUGAUGCGUGAUUAGCAUCUCUGCAUAAUCAGGACUUGCAACACCCUGAUUGCUCCUAACUGAU
ensembl:snoRNA U8 U8 small nucleolar RNA